CUGGUUGUCAAUGAGGAUAUUUAUUGGGGUUUCAUGAGUGCAGGGAGAAGGGCUGGAUGACUUGGGAUGGGGAGAGAGACCCCUCCCCUGGGAUCCUGCAGCUCCAGGCUCCCGUGGGUGGGGUUAGAGUUGGGAACCUAUGAACAUUCUGUAGGGGCCACUGUCUUCUCCACGGUGCUCCCUUCAUGCGUGACCUGGCAGCUGUAGCUUCUGUGGGACUUCCACUGCUCGGGCGUCAGGCUCAGGUAGCUGCUGGCCGCGUACUUGUUGUUGCUCUGUUUGGAGGGUUUGGUGGUCUCCACUCCCGCCUUGACGGGGCUGCCAUCUGCCUUCCAGGCCACUGUCACAGCUCCCGGGUAGAAGUCACUGAUCAGACACACUAGUGUGGCCUUGUUGGCUUGGAGCUCCUCAGAGGAGGGCGGGAACAGAGUGACAGUGGGGUUGGCCUUGGGCUGACCUGUGUGGACAGGGAAGGGGGUGAGAGAGGGCAGACAGAAUACCGGGGUCUGACAGUAAUAGUCAGCCUCAUCCUCAGACUGGAGGCUGGAGAUGGUGAGGUAGCGCUCAGCCCCAGAGCUGGAGCCUGAGAAGCGAUCAGGGAUCCCGUCCCCCUUGCUGUGGCUGCCAUCACUGUUAAGCUUCAUCAAGUACCGAGGGCCCUUCUCUGGCUGCUGCUGAUGCCAUGCGAUGGCGUAGCUGCUGUGCCCACUGCUCAGAGUGCAGGUGAGCUUGACCGAGGCUCCCAGGGAGGCAGAGGCAGAGGGCGAUUGAGUCAGCACAAGCUGGGAGAGAGACCCUG
rnacentral:lncRNA from 1 species